AUAAAACUUGUCCGAGAUAUUGCUGAUAUUAACCUAUAGUAUAAGUUUUAUAAUAAACUGCUUUGCUGAGAGCAGCUGGAUACGCCCGCAGAGGUCCAACCCUGAACAGUUGGGGCAAAAAUGGACACAAUAUUCAAGCUUGAUACAGGUCUGAAUUUGGAUUGUAAUUAAAUAUUUGACAUAUUAUAGGUUUCUGAAUAAAUGUAGUCAAAAAACUUGAAAUUGGUUAUAUGAAUUGAAUUUAUAUUCAAUUAAAGAUUUCUUGCUGUUGUACAUGUGCAAUACACUAUGCUGCUGCACAAUACUUAGUAAACCUGUUGUUGGACUAUAAACAAAUAAAAUUUAUAAAAUUCUAGAGGGAGCUUACAUCAAUAGAUAUAAUCAAUGCACCAAAGUUUCAUAAGAAUUGCUGAAAGCAUUUUUGAGUUAUUGUCUGAAAACUGGAAAAUCCCCCCUUUUUAAAUGAAUAAAACCCCAUAACUCGGAAAUGUAAAAUCUAAAAUUUAUAAAAUUCUAAAGGGACCUUACAUCAAUAGAUAUCAACAAUUCAUCAAAGUUUCAUGAGAACUGCUGAAAUCAUUUUUGAGUUAUUGUCCGAAAACUGGAAAAUCUCCCUUUUUUUUUAUGAAUAAAACCCUGUAACUUGGAAACGUAAAAUCUAAAAUUUAUAAAAAUCAAAAGGGAGCUCAUGUCAAUACAUAUAAACAAUUAACCAAAAUUUCUUGCAAGUUGGUGAAAGCAUUCUUGAGUUAUUGUCUGAAAACUGGAAAAUCCCCCUCUUUUUAAUGAAUAAAACCCCAUAACUCAGAAAUGUAAAAUCUAAAAUUUAUAAAAAACGAAAGGGAGCUCACGUCAAUAGUUAUAAACAAAUCACCAAAGUUUUAUGCAAAUUGGUUAAAGAGUUUUUGAAAUAAUGUCCGACAUGUUGACUACGGACGGACAGACGGAUGGACGGACAGACAGACAGACGGACAACGGUAUACCAUAAUGCGUCCUGUAAAAGGGGGUAUCAAAACCUUGUUUUUGCCCCCUUUUUUUGCCCCUAAUUCCUGAACAGUUUGGGCCAUAACCCCCAAGGCCAAUCCCAACCUUCCCUUUGUGGUACGGAACCUUGUGGUACAAUUUCAUAGAGAUCCAUACACUUGUACACAAGUUAUUGUAGGCAACCUAGAAUAAAAUCCUUCACUGGGGCGCAGCUUGAUACGACCGCAGAGGUCGAACCCGGAACAGUUGGGGCAAGAAUGGACACAACAUUCAAGCUUGAUACAGCUCUGAAUUUGGAUUGUUAUUAAAUAUUUGACACAGCAUAGGUUUCUGACACAGAAAGAAUGUGAUCUAAGAACUUGAAUUUUUUUAAUUUACCUAUUAUGGUCCAAUGUCCAAAAUCAAAAUACAUGGUUAGAUUCAGCAUAUCAAAGAACCCCAUAUUUUCAAUUUUUGUUGAAAUCAAACAAAGUUUAAUUUUGGACCCCAACUUGGACCAACUUGAAAACUGGGCCCAUAAUCAAAAAUCUAAACACAUGUUUAGAUUUAGCAUAUCAAAGAACCCUAAGAAUUCAAUUUUUGUUAAAAUCAAACUAAGUUUAAUUUUGGACCCUUUGGACCUCAAUGAAGACCAAUUUUAAAAAAUGGGACCCAAAUUAAAAAUCUAAAAACACGGUUAGAUUUGGCAUAUCAAAGAACCCCAAUAAUUCAAUUUUUGAUGAAAUCAAACAAAGUUUAAUUUUAGACCCUUUUGACCUCAAUAUGAACCAAUUUUAUAGCGGGGCCCACAAAUAAAAAAUCUAAAUACAUGGUUAGAUUCAGCAUAUCAAAGAACCUCAUUUAUUCAAUUUUUGUUGAAAUCAAACAAAGUUUAAUUUUGGACCCCAAUUUAGACCAACUUGAAAACUGGGCCCAUAAUCAAAAAUCUAAAUACAUGUUUAGAUUCAGCAUAUCAAAGAACCCCAUAUAUUCAAUUUUUGUUGAAAUCAAACAAAGUUUAAAUACUGGACCCUAUCUUGGACCAACUUGAAAACUGGGCCCAUAAUCAAAAAUCUAAACACAUGAGAACUUGAAUUUUUUUAAUUUACCUAUUAUGGUCCAAUGUCCAAAAUCAAAAUACAUGGUUAGAUUCAGCAUAUCAAAGAACCCCAUAUUUUCAAUUUUUGUUGAAAUCAAACAAAGUUUAAUUUUGGACCCCAACUUGGACCAACUUGAAAACUGGGCCCAUAAUCAAAAAUCUAAACACAUGUUUAGAUUUAGCAUAUCAAAGAACCCUAAGAAUUCAAUUUUUGUUAAAAUCAAACUAAGUUUAAUUUUGGACCCUUUGGACCUCAAUGAAGACCAAUUUUAAAAAAUGGGACCCAAAUUAAAAAUCUAAAAACACGGUUAGAUUUGGCAUAUCAAAGAACCCCAAUAAUUCAAUUUUUGAUGAAAUCAAACAAAGUUUAAUUUUAGACCCUUUUGACCUCAAUAUGAACCAAUUUUAUAGCGGGGCCCACAAAUAAAAAAUCUAAAUACAUGGUUAGAUUCAGCAUAUCAAAGAACCUCAUAUAUUCAAUUUUUGUUGAAAUCAAACAAAGUUUAAUUUUGGACCCCAAUUUAGACCAACUUGAAAACUGGGCCCAUAAUCAAAAAUCUAAAUACAUGUUUAGAUUCAGCAUAUCAAAGAACCCCAUAUAUUCAAUUUUUGUUGAAAUCAAACAAAGUUUAAAUACUGGACCCUAUCUUGGACCAACUUGAAAACUGGGCCCAUAAUCAAAAAUCUAAACACAUGUUUAGAUUUAGCAUAUCAAAGAACCCCAAGAAUUCAAUUUUUGUUAAAAUCAAACUAAGUUUAAUUUUGGACCCUUUGGACCUCAAUGAAGACCAAUUUUAAAAAAUGGGACCCAAAUUAAAAAUCUAAAAACACGGUUAGAUUUGGCAUAUCAAAGAACCCCAAUAAUUCAAUUUUUGAUGAAAUCAAACAAAGUUUAAUUUUAGACCCUUUUGACCUCAAUAUGAACCAAUUUUAUAGCGGGGCCCACAAAUAAAAAAUCUAAAUACAUGGUUAGAUUCAGCAUAUCAAAGAACCUCAUAUAUUCAAUUUUUGUUGAAAUCAAACAAAGUUUAAUUUUGGACCCCAAUUUAGACCAACUUGAAAACUGGGCCCAUAAUCAAAAAUCUAAAUACAUGUUUAGAUUCAGCAUAUCAAAGAACCCCAUAUAUUCAAUUUUUGUUGAAAUCAAACAAAGUUUAAAUACUGGACCCUAUCUUGGACCAACUUGAAAACUGGGCCCAUAAUCAAAAAUCUAAACACAUGAGAACUUGAAUUUUUUUAAUUUACCUAUUAUGGUCCAAUGUCCAAAAUCAAAAUACAUGGUUAGAUUCAGCAUAUCAAAGAACCCCAUAUUUUCAAUUUUUGUUGAAAUCAAACAAAGUUUAAUUUUGGACCCCAACUUGGACCAACUUGAAAACUGGGCCCAUAAUCAAAAAUCUAAACACAUGUUUAGAUUUAGCAUAUCAAAGAACCCUAAGAAUUCAAUUUUUGUUAAAAUCAAACUAAGUUUAAUUUUGGACCCUUUGGACCUCAAUGAAGACCAAUUUUAAAAAAUGGGACCCAAAUUAAAAAUCUAAAAACACGGUUAGAUUUGGCAUAUCAAAGAACCCCAAUAAUUCAAUUUUUGAUGAAAUCAAACAAAGUUUAAUUUUAGACCCUUUUGACCUCAAUAUGAACCAAUUUUAUAGCGGGGCCCACAAAUAAAAAAUCUAAAUACAUGGUUAGAUUCAGCAUAUCAAAGAACCUCAUAUAUUCAAUUUUUGUUGAAAUCAAACAAAGUUUAAUUUUGGACCCCAAUUUAGACCAACUUGAAAACUGGGCCCAUAAUCAAAAAUCUAAAUACAUGUUUAGAUUCAGCAUAUCAAAGAACCCCAUAUAUUCAAUUUUUGUUGAAAUCAAACAAAGUUUAAAUACUGGACCCUAUCUUGGACCAACUUGAAAACUGGGCCCAUAAUCAAAAAUCUAAACACAUGUUUAGAUUUAGCAUAUCAAAGAACCCCAAGAAUUCAAUUUUUGUUAAAAUCAAACUAAGUUUAAUUUUGGACCCUUUGGACCUCAAUGAAGACCAAUUUUAAAAAAUGGGACCCAAAUUAAAAAUCUAAAAACACGGUUAGAUUUGGCAUAUCAAAGAACCCCAAUAAUUCAAUUUUUGAUGAAAUCAAACAAAGUUUAAUUUUAGACCCUUUUGACCUCAAUAUGAACCAAUUUUAUAGCGGGGCCCACAAAUAAAAAAUCUAAAUACAUGGUUAGAUUCAGCAUAUCAAAGAACCUCAUAUAUUCAAUUUUUGUUGAAAUCAAACAAAGUUUAAUUUUGGACCCCAAUUUAGACCAACUUGAAAACUGGGCCCAUAAUCAAAAAUCUAAAUACAUGUUUAGAUUCAGCAUAUCAAAGAACCCCAUAUAUUCAAUUUUUGUUGAAAUCAAACAAAGUUUAAAUACUGGACCCUAUCUUGGACCAACUUGAAAACUGGGCCCAUAAUCAAAAAUCUAAACACAUGUUUAGAUUUAGCAUAUCAAAGAACCCCAAGAAUUCAAUUUUUGUUAAAAUCAAACUAAGUUUAAUUUUGGACCCUUUGGACCUCAAUGAAGACCAAUUUUAAAAAAUGGGACCCAAAUUAAAAAUCUAAAAACACGGUUAGAUUUGGCAUAUCAAAGAACCCCAAUAAUUCAAUUUUUGAUGAAAUCAAACAAAGUUUAAUUUUAGACCCUUUUGACCUCAAUAUGAACCAAUUUGAUAGCAGGGCCCACAAAUAAAAAAUCUAAAUACAUGGUUAGAUUCAGCAUAUCAAAGAACCUCAUAUAUUCAAUUUUUGUUGAAAUCAAACAAAGUUUAAUUUUGGACCCCAAUUUGGACCAACUUGAAAACUGGGCCCAUAAUCAAAAAUCUAAAUACAUGUUUAGAUUCAGCAUAUCAAAAAACCCCAUAUAUUCAAUUUUUGUUGAAAUCAAACAAAGUUUAAAUACUGGACCCUAUCUUGGACCAACUUGAAAACUGGGCCCAUAAUCAAAAAUCUAAACACAUGUUUAGAUUCAGCAUAUCAAAGAACCCCAAGAAUUCAAUUUUUGUUAAAAUCAAACUAAGUUUAAUUUUGGACCCUUUGGACCUUAAUGUAGACCAAUUUAAAUAAAAUGCUCCGCAGGGCGCAGCUUGAUACGACCACAGAGGUCGAACCCUGAACAGUUGGGGCAAGUAUGGACACAACAUUCAAGCUUGAUACAGCUCUGAAUUUGGAUUGUGAUUAAAUAUUUGACACAGCAUAGGUUUCUGACACAGAAUGAAUGUGGUCUUUGAACUUAAAAAUUUUAAAUUGGAAAUUCACCUAUUAUGGUCCAAUAUCCAAAAUCUAAAUACAUGGUUAGAUUCAGCAUAUCAAAGAACCCCAAGAAUUCAAUUUUUGAUGAAAUCAAACAAAGUUUAAUUUAGGACCCUUUUGACCUCAAUGUGGACAAAGUUGAUAAUGGGGUCCAAAAAUCAAAAAUCUAAAUACAUGGUUAGAUUCAGCAUAUCAAAGAACCCCAUAUAUUCAAUUUUUGUUGAAAUCAAACAAAGUUUAAUUUUGGACCCCGAUUUGGACCAACUUGAAAACUGGGCCCAUAAUCAAAAAUCUUAAUACAUGUUUAGAUUCAGCAUAUCAAAGAACCCUAAGAAUUCAAUUUUUGUUAAAAUCAAACUAAGUUUAAUUUUGGACCCUUUGGACCUUAAUGUAGACCAAUUUGAAAACGGAACCAAAAAUUAAGAAUCUAAAUACACGGUUAGAUUCGCCAUAUCAAAGAACCCCAAUAAUUCAGUUUUUGAUGAAAUCAAACGAACUUUAAUUUUGGACCCUUUGGACCUCAAUGUGGACCAAUUUAAAAACGGGGCCCAAAAUCCAAAAACUAAAUAUACGGUUAGAAUCAGCAUAUUAAAGAACCCCAAUAAUUCAAUUUUUGAUGAAAUCAAACAUCUUAAUUUUGGACCCUUUGGACCUCAAUGUGGACCAAUUUAAAAACGGGGCCCAAAAUCCAAAAACUUAAUACGCGGUUAGAAUCAGCAUAUUUAAGAACCCCAAGAAUUUAAGAAUAUACCCCAUUGAAAUUGGUCAAGAAAUAAGCAAUUUAUACGAAGUAUCUUCUUUUGCACAAUACUGUGCAAUUGAAUAUUUCUUGCUAUUGCGCAAUAUUGUGCUAUUGGAUAUUUCUUGCUAUUGCACAAUACUGUGCAAUUGAAGAUUUCUUGCUAUUGCGCAAUACUGUGCAAUUGAAGAUUUCUUGCUAUUGUGUAAUACUGUGCAAUUGAAAAUUUCUUGCUAUUGCACAAUACUUAUUAUAUAAUAAUUUACACAUCCUGUUUGGUGUGUAUCUCCUACCAUAUCAUUAUUAUUUGCUUUUAAAUAUAAAACAGAAAUAACCAACUUAAAAUGGAAAAUUUUAAAAGAAAAUAAAAUGCUUCGCUGGGCGCAGCUUGAUACGACCGCAGAGGUCGUACCCUGAACAGUUGGGGGCAAGUAUGGACACAACAUUCAAGCUUGAUACAGGUCUGAAAUUUGGAUUGUGAUUAAAUAUUUGACACAGCAUAGGUUUCUGACACAGAAAGAAUGUGGUCUAAGAACUUGAAUUUUUUCAAUUUACCUAUUAUGGUCCAAUGUCCAAAAUCAAAAUACAUGGUUAGAUUCAGCAUAUCAAAGAACCCCAUAUAUUCAAUUUUUGUUGAAAUCAAACAAAGUUUAAUUUUGGACCCCAACUUGGACAAACUUGCAAACUGGGCCCAUAAUCAAAAAUCUAAAACAUGUUUUUUUGAUGAAAUCAAACAAAGUUUAAUUUUGGACCCUUUGGACCUUAGUGUAGACCAAUUUAAAUAAACUGCUUCGCUGAGCGCAGCUGGAUACGCCCGCAGAGGUCCAACCCUGAACAGUUGGGGCAUAAAUGGACACAAUAUUCAAGCUUGAUACAGGUCUGAAUUUGGAUUGUAAUUAAAUAUUUGAUAUAUUAUAGCUUUCUGAAUAAAUGUAGUCAAAGAACUUGAAAUUGGUUAUAUGAAAGAUUUCUUGCUGUUGUGCAAUACACUGUGCUGUUGCGCAAUACUUAGUAAAUCUGUUGUCAGACUAUAAACAAAUAAAAUCUUAUAACUCUGAAAUAUAAAAUCAAAAAUUUAUAAAAAAUCAAAAGGGAGCUUACAAAAAUAGAUAUAAACAAUUUACCAAAGUCUCAUAAAAAAUAUAAAAAAUAGUUUCAGCAUUUUAGAGAUAUUGUCCGAAAACUGGAAAAUCCCCCUUUUUGUAAUGAAUAAAACCCCAUAACUCAAAAACACAAAAUCUAAACUUGAUAAAAAUCAAAAGGGAGCUCAUGUCAAUAGAUAAAAAUAAAAUGCUCUGCUGGGCGCAGCUUGAUACGACUGCAGAGGUCGAACCCUGAACAGUUGGGGCAAGUAUGGACACAACAUUCAAGCUUGAUACAGCACUGAAUUUGUAUUGUGAUUAAAUAUUUGACACAGCAUAGGUUCUGACACAGAAAGAAUGUGGUCUAAGAACUUCAAUUUUUUUAAUUUACCUAUUAUGGUCCAAUGUCCAAAAUCAAAAUACAUGGUUAGAUUCAGCAUAUCAAAGAACCCCAUAUAUUCAAUUUUUGUUGAAAUCAAACAAAGUUUCAUUUUGGACCCCAACUUGAACAAACUUGAAAACUGGUCCCAUAAUCAAAAAUCUAAACACAUGUUUAGAUUCAGCAUAUCAAAGUACCCCAAGAAUUCAAUUUUUGUUAAAAUCAAACUAAGUUUAAUUUUGGACCCCUUGGACCUUAAUGUAGACCAAUUUAAAAAACGGGACCCAAAAUUAAAAAUCUAAAAACACAGUUAGAUUUGGCAUAUCAAAGAACCCCAAUAAUUCAAUUUUUGAUGAAAUCAAACAAAGUUUAAUUUUGGACCCUUUUGACCUCAAUAUGAACCAAUUUGAUAGCGGGCCCACAAAAUAAAAAAUCUAAAUACAUGGUAAGAUUCAGCAUAUCAAAGAACCCCAUAUAUUCAAUUUUUGUUGAAAUCAAACAAAGUUUAAUUUUGGACCCCAAUUUGGACCAACUUGAAAACUGGGCCAAAAAUCUAAAAUCUAAAUACAUGUUUAGAUUCAGCAUAUCAAAGAACCCCAUAUAUUCAAUUUUUGUUGAAAUCAAACAAAGUUUAAUUUUGGACCCCAACUUGGACCAACUUGAAAACUGGUCCCAUAAUAAAAAAUCUAAACACAUGUUUAGAUUCAGCAUAUCAAAGAACCCCAAAAAUUCAAUUUUUGUUAAAAUCAAACUAAGUUUAAUUUUGGACCCUUUGGACCUUAAUGUAGACCAAUUUAAAAAACGGGACCCAAAAUUAAAAAUCUAAAUACACGGUUAGAUUUGGCAUAUCAAAGAACCCCAAUAAUUGAAUUUUUGAUGAAAUCAAACAAAGUUUAAUUUUGGACCCUUUUGACCUCAAUAUGAACCAAUUUGAUAGCGGGCCCACAAAUAAAAAAUCUAAAUACAUGGUAAAUUUCAGCAUAUCAAAGAACCCCAUAUAUUCAAUUUUUGUUGAAAUCAAACAAAGUUUAAUUUUGGACCCCAAUUUGGACCAACUUGAAAACUGGGCCAAAAAUCUAAAAUCUAAAUACAUGUUUAGAUUCAGCAUAUCAAAGAACCCCAUAUAUUCAAUUUUUGUUGAAAUCAAAAAAAGUUUAAUUUUGGACCCCAACUUGGACCAACUUGAAAACUGGGCCCAUAAUAAAAAAUCUAAACACAUGUUUAGAUUUAGCAUAUCAAAGAACCCCAAGAAUUCAAUUUUUGUUGAAAUCAAAAAAAGUUUAAUUUUGGACCUCAACUUGGACCAACUUGAAAACUGGGCCCAUAAUAAAAAAUCUAAACACAUGUUUAGAUUUAGCAUAUCAAAGAACCCCAAGAAUUCAAUUUUUGUUAAAAUCAAACUAAGUUUAAUUUUGUACCCUUUGGACCUUAAUGUAGACCAAUUUAAAAACGGGACCCAAAAUUAAAAAUCUAAAUACACGGUUAGAUUUGGCAUAUCAAAGAAUCCCAAUAAUUCUAUUUUUGAUGAAAUAAAACAAAGUUUAAUUUUGGACCCUUUUGACCUCAAUAUGAACCAAUUUGAUAGCGGGUCCACAAAUAAAAAAUCUAAAUACAUGGUUAGAUUCAGCAAAUCAAAGAACCCCAAGAAUUCAAUUUUUGAUGAAAUCAAACAAAGUUUAAUUUUGGACCCUUUUGACCUCAAUGUGGACAAAGUUGAUAACGGGGCCCAAAAAUCAAAAAUCUAAAUACAUGGUUAGAUUCAGCAUAUCAAAGAACCCCAUAUAUUCAAUUUUUGUUGAAAUCAAACAAAGUUUAAUUUUGGACCCCGAUUUGGACCAACUUGAAAACUGGGCCCAUAAUCAAAAAUCUAAAUACAUGUUUAGAUUCAGCAUAUCAAAGUACCCUAAAAAUUCAAUUUUUGUUAAAAUCAAACUAAGUUUAAUUUUGGACCCUUUUGACCUUAAUGUAGACCAAUUUGAAAACGGAACCAAAAAUUAAGAAUCUAAAUACACGGUUAGAUUCGGCAUAUCAAAGAACCCCAAUAAUUCAAUUUUUGAUAAAAUCAAACAAAGUUAAAUUUUGGACCCCUUGGACCUCAAUGUGGACCAAUUUAAAAACGGGGCCCAAAAUCCAAAAA